UGUGGGCAAAGCAGGUUAUGGCUAGUUUAGGAACAAACAAAGUAGCCCAGAUGCGAAAGAAAAGCAAGCGAGAGAGAGAGAGGACGAAGGACCCAUCCAGAUCCCGUAACAAUAAUAAUGCUCAUUAAAAACAAAUCCUUUUUUUUUUCUUCCCUUCUUCGCCCCCUGCCGCCCUCCGUUCCCAAAAAUCAAAUAAACCAGCUUUCCUCCAGGUUUGUCAGCCCUUGUAGCUGGAGAUCCAAGGGAAGGACGCCAAGAAUUCUAAACAGUAAAGCUUUCGAUAAUGGAUACAUUACAUGGAAGAUCUUUAAAAGGGGAGGUGGCCGAUGGAAGGUCCUUACGGAGUGAUCCUGCUUGGCUCUCAGCCUCUCCGGCACCGGCUCCUGAAUUUUAAUUACAUUCAUAUAAAACCAUCCGUUUUUCUACAUACAUGUUAUGUGUAUGUGAGGGAGAAGACUGGGUGAACACACACACACACUCGCACGCACAUACAUACAAACGCACAAGACGCACGCACGCACAUGCACAACACACACACGCGUGC